rnacentral:rRNA from 1 species
GGGCCCGCACAAGCGGUGGAGCAUGUGGUUUAAUUCGAUGCAACGCGAAGAACCUUACCAAGGCUUGACAUACUACAGAUUUCUUUGAAAAAGGAAAGUGCCUUCGGGAAUGUAGAUACAGGUGGUGCAUGGCUGUCGUCAGCUCGUGUCGUGAGAUGUUGGGUUAAGUCCCGCAACGAGCGCAACCCUUAUUUUUAGUUGCUAAUUUAGUUUAGGUUUUCUAGAAAGACUGCCGGUGACAAACCGGAGGAAGGUGAGGAUGACGUCAAGUCAGCAUGCCCCUUAUGCCUUGGGCUACACACGUGCUACAAUGGUUAAGACAAAGAGUUGCGAGCUCGUGAGAGUCAGCUAAUCUCAUAAACUUAGCCUAAGUUCGGAUUGUAGGCUGCAACUCGCCUGCAUGAAGUCGGAAUCGCUAGUAAUCGC